rnacentral:rRNA from 1 species
CCUACGGGAGGCAGCAGUGAGGAAUAUUGGUCAAUGGGCGAGAGCCUGAACCAGCCAAGUCGCGUGAAGGAUGACGGCCCUACGGGUUGUAAACUUCUUUUGUCAGGGAGCAAUUGGGUCCACGCGUGGGCUUAGCGAGAGUACCUGAAGAAAAAGCAUCGGCUAACUCCGUGCCAGCAGCCGCGGUAAUACGGGGGAUGCGAGCGUUAUCCGGCUUUAUUGGGUUUAAAGGGUGCGUAGGCGGAAUAUCAAGUCAGCGGUAAAAAUUCGGGGCUCAACCCCGUCGUGCCGUUGAAACUGAUGUGCUUGAGUGCGCGAGAGGUAUGCGGAAUGCGUGGUGUAGCGGUGAAAUGCAUAGAUAUCACGCAGAACUCCGAUUGCGAAGGCAGCAUACCGGCGCCCAACUGACGCUGAAGCACGAAAGCGUGGGUAUCGAACAGGAUUAGAUACCCUAGUAGUC